AAAUUCUAACCAUUCUGCAAAGGAGAAUGAAUCAAGCUUGGAGCUUUUUGGGAAGAGAAAAGGACAGAAGAAGAACAAAGAGAAGACAUAAGAAUAAAUGAAACGUACUCCAGUUGAUUGGAAGGUAACCACCGAAGGAGUCUGGAGGCAACUGGAAUUCCACUGUGUUGAGUGCUGCAUGAAUAGCUAGAGACAGUCCUUUUGCACCAUGCAUCAGGCGAAACAACAGCAAUCUCCUAAAAGAUGGCAAAAGAAGAUACGCUCAGAGAUGUCUAUACAAUUAAGAAGAACAAUUCACUUUCUGCAUAUUCUGUUUAAUGCAGACCUUUUGCUUAAGGCUCUUUCAGCCUCCCAUGCUUUCUGUGUUAGAGAUUCAGCCCAAAGAAUGUUAACCUCACUCUCUCUCGUUCCUGGAAAGUACAAACCAAGAAGACAUCCUGCAGAAGCAAAUACCGUACCUCAGAGCAUUAUAUCAUCAAC
rnacentral:lncRNA from 1 species